UAUUCAGUGAUGUUCUCUCCUGUUGCCAGCAUUUUAGGUGCAUUUUACAUAUGGAAAUAAAAUUAAAAUGUUGAGUGCAGGUAUCCAGCUGAGUUCCCGCAUGUCAGAUGGAUGUCUAAUACAAAUUAAGGCACAUGUUGGGUUUAGAUUGUGAUCAUUACGGAUUACCUGCAGAGUACAGAUGGGAACAUUAAAGAGGAUCCAGAUAGCAAAAAAUUUUCUGCUUACAAGGGUGUAAGAUAUCUGAAUCUGAAAAGAAACCAGAAAGGAAUGGGAAAAGUUCUUACAAACUCUAUUUUGAGUGAUGGAUGAUAUUGUGAGACUCCUGUUGGAGCAGAUCAAGAGUGACAGUAAAAAGAUGGGAAAUGGUACAGGUGAGAGCUGAGAUGAUCUCCAGUAGAUCUGUCAGCCUCUAGAGAAGGAGUAUGAAGACAUGAGAAGGUUGUGAGAUGAACUGUGCAAUAAAGAAAGUUUUGUGCUGUUUCAGUAUUAUAUGUUAGUAACAAAAUAAAGUUAUUGUCAGUGCACAAUAUGCAGCUUCCUCAUUUUAUGGGAUUGAUGAGAAUAGUUUUAAACUGAUGAAAUGGGAUAUAGGAGAAAGUGCGAGACCCAUGUGAUGCUUAUACAAGCCUUGAGGGCACAGAAAAAUUAAAAUUGGAUAAAUGAGACUACAGGCAUGGAUAAAGGAACAAUAUUAUUAGGAGAUAGCUAGCAAGAAAAAAACAAGUCCUGCUGAUGGUAAAAAUUGUGAAGAUACAGUUAGUGGAAGGAUCCCACCUCAACUGGUUGGGAGUUUGGGUGAGGUCAUUGUGAAUCGUGGAAGUGUUGGUGCAUCAAUUUAAGGAUCCUGGAAGAUGCAUGGAAACCUGAGGGCUGCCUGUGCUGAAGGGAAAGAAGGUGUUAUCCAAAACAUGGAAAUGCAUCCAGGAAGGCGGCAAGUGGGUUCGGUUGGGUGUCUGUGCACAUUACAGGCAUAAAGCUUUGAGAAAGGAAAGAUGGGAUAAAGUAGAUCCUCCUGGAAUAAUAAAUGGGGAAAAAAAA
rnacentral:lncRNA from 1 species